UGCGGAAGGAUCAUUUACUCGAUCGUAACAACACGCCAAUCAAUGGUAACUUAUUGAGUACCCUCUCCAUCACCGUGCCUUCGGAUGCGGCGGAGAGGGAAACCCUUUAAACACAACCGCCAAAAUUUUAAUUAACCAAAAUAUCAAAGCCGUGACCCGACCGAUUUCAUCGGGAAGGACACGCAACUAACCAAGAAUAACCCCUAACAACGGAUGUCUUGGCUCUCGCAACGAUGAAGAACGCAGCGAAAUGCGAUAUGUAGUGUGAAUUGCAGAAUUACGUGAAUCAUCGAAUUUUUGAACGCAUACGGCACCCGAGACCUCGGUCGAGGGUAUGUCUGCCUCAGAGUCGGCGUAACAAACUCCCCUGUGGUUACACCAAUCCUUCGGGAAAGGUAUUGGCCAGCAUCAGGGGGAACUGGCUUUCCCGCGCACCAACGCGGGUCUGCUGAAGGUGAGAUACGGGUACGUCCGGCUGGUGUGCCACCGGAUAGCACGAUUUGGUGGGAGGAAGGUACCUUGGUACCCUAUCCGAAUCAUCGUCGUGUUCUGGAGGGCAAAAGCACCGGUCAUGGGUAACCCGCCAGGCAGGAAAAAGGGGACGUCACGACGGUUUUCGGACCUCGCGUCGACCCCCGAACACAAUUCGACCUGAGUUCAGGCAAGAUCACCCGCUGAACUU
rnacentral:misc_RNA from 1 species